rnacentral:rRNA from 1 species
AGUGAACGCUGGCGGUAGGCCUAACACAUGCAAGUCGAACGGCAGCACAGUAAUUGCUUGCUCUUACGGGUGUCGAGUGGCGGACGGUUGAUUAAUACAUCGUAAUCUACUUUUUCGUGGGUGAUAACGUAGGGAAACUUACGCGAAUACCGCAUACGACCUACGGGUGUGAGCAUGGGAUCUUCUGACCUUGUGCGAUUGAAUGAGCCGAUGUCGGAUUAGCUAGUUGGCGGGGUAAAGGCCCACCAAGGCGACGAUCCGUAGCUGGUCUGAGAGGAUGUUUCGCCACACUGGAACUGAGGCAGGGUCGCGACUCCUAAGGGAGGGCACAGUGGGGAAUAUUGGACGAAGGAGCCAAGGCUGAUCCAGGCCUACCGCGUGGAUGAAGAAGGAGUUAGGGUUGUAAAGCCCUUUUGUUGGGAAAGAAAAGAAGCAGGUUUAUACCCCGCUGUUAUGACGGUGCCCAAAGAAUAAGCACCGGCUAACUUCGUG